UUGUUUCAGCAAAGCAUUUAAGAAACUAGAUGAUGAUCAAAAAUCAACUGUGUAUGGAAAGAUAAAAAGCUACAAUAAAAAUGUGAAGACUGAAACAGGAUCUGCUUGUGGGACAGACUCCGGAACCAGCAGUGCCUGGGUCGAGUCAUACUAUGGAGCUUUCAUUCAAGAGGCUUCACUGGCUGACCUCAAGGAUGCAAACAGCAACUUCAACGUGGAUGAAGCACUGCCGGCCUUGACUGGUACCCAGGUUGCUGACUAUGUUCUUGGUAAUGGAGGCCUGAAUGAUGAGACCAUCAUUAACAUCGUGUUUGCCAGCAUAAACACCACUGAGAAAGUG